rnacentral:rRNA from 1 species
GACGAACGCUGGCGGCGUGCCUAAUACAUGCAAGUCGAGCGAAGCGGGGACGGGUGAGUAACACGUAAGAAACCUCCGAUAAGCGGGGGACAACAUCCGGAAACGGGUGCUAAACAGCAUACUUAUCGAUGGCCUGCGGGCAUUAGCUCGGUGGGGGGGUAACGGCCUCACAGGCAAUGAUGCAUAGCCGACCGAGAGGGUAAUCGGCCACAGUGGGACUGAGACACGGCCCAAACUCCGACGUGAGGCAGCAGUAGGGAAUCUGCCGCAAUGGGCGCAAGCCUGACGGAGCAACGCCGCGGGAGUGAAGAAGGUUUUCGGAGCGUAAAGCUCUGUUGUAAGAGAAGCGGUAUCUUACCAGAAAGCCACGGCUAACUACGUGCCAGCAGCCGCGGUAAUUC